rnacentral:rRNA from 1 species
CAGUCGCCACGGUAAUACGGAGGGUGCAAGCGUUAUCCGGAUUUAUUGGGUUUAAAGGGUCCGUAGGCGGAUCUGUAUGUCAGUGGUGAAAUCUCACAGCUUAACUGUGAAACUGCCAUUGAUACUGCAGGUCUUGAGUAAAUUUGAAGUGGCUGGAAUAAGUAGUGUAGCGGUGAAAUGCAUAGAUAUUACUUAGAACACCAAUUGCGAAGGCAGGUCACUAAGAUUUAACUGACGCUGAUGGACGAAAGCGUGGGGAGCGAACAGGAUUAGAUACCCGGGUAGUCCCUGUCUCUUAUAC